GACGAACCGAGCGAACGUUGUUCGGAAUCACUGGGCUUAAAGGGCGCGUAGGCGGGUGCCCAAGUCCGGGGUGAAAGCCUCCAGCUUAACUGGAGAAUUGCCUCGGAUACUGGGCGUCUGGAGUGGGGUAGGGGUGUGCGGAACGCUGGGUGGAGCGGUGAAAUGCGUUGAUAUCCAGCGGAACUCCGGUGGCGAAAGCGGCACACUGGACCCCGUCUGACGCUGAGGCGCGAAAGCCAGGGGAGCGAACGGG
rnacentral:rRNA from 1 species